UCAAGUGAGAUUGCACGCCUUUUCUGGUUGUUUUCGUGGCUUGCUAUCAGUAAUAUAUAGUGUACUUGUAAGUCACAGUUGUAACUGCUCUUAAAAAUGUUAAUUAAAUAAAACCUCACCUAGAAGUGUUCAAAAAGUCCUCAUAGCUUGAAAUUUUAAUAUAAUAUUAUGAAAAAUAUUUAUUUCAAUAAGACAUUGUUUUGAGGGAUCAAAUAUCAAAGCAUAUGGGUAUUUAAUAUACUUAUUGUUGGCAUGUGGCUGAUGUGAGAUUAAUUCAUUUGUGCGAAAAUGGGUCGGAACUCAGUGGGUGUGGAAGCAAAUGGAGAGCUAAGAAUACUGCUUGUUGUUACUGUUAUCAUAGGAUUACUACUAAUGCUUUCAUUGCUAAUGUGUUACGCGUGCGUCUUAAAACGUUUGUGUUGCGGUACGCCGAGAGAACGAAGUAAAAAUAUUGCUUGCGGUCGACAGACUGAAAGCUAUCCAAUGGGUGACGUAACGUUGCUUUCACAACCCACAGAAAGCGAACGCGUCUGAAGCAUUCCUUGCUCAUUAUAUCAAAAUGGCGUCUUAAUUUUGCCAUUGUCUAUGGCUAGGCAAAAACCUGUCAAAUAUGAGUUAGACUCGCACUUUCUUCUGAACGUAGUGUUUAAAUUCUUUUUGUUUCUACUGCAAGAUACUUGUACUUUUAAAAGAAUUUUGUAACAGAAACACUUAAUUAAUAUGGCGGUCAUUCUAAAAUUCACUCUAUCAAAAUAUUGUAACAUUGCGGUUUAUGAAAUACAACCGACUGACAGACAGACAGGCAACGGAAUCUUAUAUAAAAGAAACCAUCGAUCCCUUUGCAGGGUGAAAUCCUAAAUACAGUAAAUAAGUGUAAAAAAUCAUCCAAAAUUAAAAACUCCAAAUAUAAACUAAGCAUACCUUUUAAAACCAAAUGGAAUAGUUACCUUUCUAAAUCGACUAAUUUUGUUUAAUUAUGUAUAAGCGUUAUUAUCAUCAAUAAUUGUAAAGGUUUAGUUUAUAUGUAACUUUAAUAUGAUAAUUAAAUGUUGUGAUAGUUAAAACAU